UACGUAGGGACCGAGCGUUGUCCGGAAUCAUUGGGCGUAAAGAGCGUGUAGGCGGCCUUUUAAGUCCUGCGUGAAAUCCUGCGGCUCAACCGCAGACGGUCGUGGGAAACUGGAAGGCUAGAGUGCGGGAGAGGAGAGUGGAAUUCCCGGUGUAGCGGUGAAAUGCGCAGAUAUCGGGAAGAACACCGGUGGCGAAGGCGGCUCACUGGCCCGGAACUGACGCUGAGACGCGAAAGCGUGGGGAGCAAACAGG
rnacentral:rRNA from 1 species